CCUACGGGAGGCAGCAGUAAGGAAUAUUGGUCAAUGGAGGCAACUCUGAACCAGCCAUGCCGCGUGCAGGAUGAAGGCCCUAUGGGUCGUAAACUGCUUUUACACAAGAGAAAACCCGAGUACGUGUACUCGGUUGAUAGUAUUGUGAGAAUAAGCAUCGGCUAACUUCGUGCCAGCAGCCGCGGUAAGACGAAGGAUGCAAGCGUUAUCCGGAUUCAUUGGGUUAAAGGUGCGUAGGCGGACCUGUAAGUCAGUGGUGAAAUCUCUUUGCUUAACAAAGAAACUGCCAUUGAUACUGCAAGUCUAGAGUAUAGAUGACGUUGGCGGAAUAUGACAUGUAGUGGUGAAAUACUUAGAUAUGUCAUAGAACACCGAUUGCGAAGGCAGCUAACGAAACUAUAACUGACGCUGAGGCACGAAAGUNCGGGGAUCAAACAGGAUUAGAUACCCUGGUAGUCCGCACCGUAAACGAUGAUUACUCGUUGUUGGCAAUAUGGACCCUNAGCGACGAAGACGAAAGCGAANAAGUAAUACACCGACGGGAGGUACGACCGGCGACGAGAAACGUAAAGUAAAGUAGACGACGNGAGAGAGACGAGACGACGACGAGGGAGAGG
rnacentral:rRNA from 1 species